rnacentral:lncRNA from 1 species
CCCCCAUCUCUUUCCUUUAUCUUCUUCACAUAACCACCUGCACCAUUUUUCCGACCACAACCAACCCCACCAGUUCCACCUCCCUUUGGUAUCCUCCACCCACCACAACCCCAGUUUCAAUCGCCCCUCCACCUCAACAGUAGCCGCACCACCACUAACCCUCAAUUUCAAUCACCCGCACCACUAUGACACUACCUACAUCACCUCUACCGUAGUCACACCUGCAAUAAUUUAGUUUUCAUCUCGAUCCUAACCACAUCAAUCAUACAAAAUCAGUCACUGAGCAACUCAGAAAUGUUAUUGAACUCCUCACCGGCGUUUUCGUUAUUCACCGGUGUACCUUGAAACGAGACUAGUAAACUCCUCACCGGCGUUUUGUUAUUCACAUCUAGAAACUUCACAUCUGAAACAAUCUUGAAUAAACAGUCUUGCUCUGGCUCGUUGAAGUUCACGAAUCAAUCUUGAAUUUUCGCCGCCUAAAUCGUUUUUCCGAUAAUGGAACAAACCGGCGAUGGUGACCAAUAUUGAUCCUUAGAUAUGUAGAUGUUUUUUCAUCAUACUCCUAUUUCACAGUAGUUUGAUCAAGGAACUUGUAGAUCUGUAAUUUGACAGGGGUUUCAUUAAUGUUAAAAAUUGAAGCUUUUGAUGGAGUGGGAUAUUUGAAGCUUUUGAUGGAGUGGGAUAAUUGAAGCUUUUGGAGGCAGGUUAUGUGCUUGUUCGCAUGAAUGGGGAGGUACCUGUUAUUUGACUCAUGAAUCAAUCCCUACACCUGGUUGUGGUAACCAGUGAAUUAGCUUUACAUAUUCAAGGGGGAGGAUGACGCAUUUCGAUUUCAGGGAGUGAUCUAAAUGGAAUAGCGCCUUGUCAUUGAGAUUAUCUUAGACAAGUUUAUAGAAAAGGUCUGUUAUGUGUGCUUAUAACUGUAGGUUUCAACCUUUUGGUUUAAAAAGCACACAAAUCGACAUUUUGCUU